rnacentral:misc_RNA from 1 species
CACAGGGAUCUUUUCACUAUGGUCAAAUAAAUAUCACUGAAACAUAUAUAUUGAGGAUCUUGCCUCCAGUUACAAUUGAUGGGAAACAACGUGCAACUCUGAAUGGGAUAUCAUUUGUCAAUCCUGAUACACCGAUCAGGCUUGCUGACCUGCACAAUGUGAAGGGAGCUUACAAACUUGAUUUUCCUGAUAAGCCACUUGAUAGGCCUCCCCGAAUGGACAUAUCUGUCAUUAAUGCUACAUA